rnacentral:rRNA from 1 species
UACGGGGGGGGCAAGCGUUGUUCGGAAUUACUGGGCGUAAAGCGUGCGCAGGCGGUUCGCUAAGACCGAUGUGAAAUCCCCGGGCUUAACCUGGGAACUGCAUUGGUGACUGGCGGGCUAGAGUAUGGCAGAGGGGGGUAGAAUUCCACGUGUAGCAGCGAAAUGCGUAGAGAUGUGGAGGAAUACCGGUGGCGAAGGCAGCCCCCUGGGCCAAUACUGACGCUCAUGCACGAAAGCGUGGGGAGCAAACAGG